rnacentral:rRNA from 1 species
AACGAACGCUGGCGGCAUGCCUAAUACAUGCAAGUCGAACGAGAUCUUCGGAUCUAGUGGCGCACGGGUGCGUAACGCGUGGGAAUCUGCCCUUGGGUUCGGAAUAACGUCGGGAAACUGACGCUAAUACCGGAUGAUGACGUAAGUCCAAAGAUUUAUCGCCCAAGAUGAGCCCGCGUAGGAUUAGCUAGUUGGUGGGGUAAAGGCCCACCAAGGCGACGAUCCUUAGCUGGUCUGAGAGGAUGAUCAGCCACACUGGGACUGAGACACGGCCCAGACUCCUACGGGAGGCAGCAGUAGGGAAUAUUGGACAAUGGGGGCAACCCUGAUCCAGCAAUGCCGCGUGAGUGAUGAAGGCCUUAGGGUUGUAAAGCUCUUUUACCCGGGAUGAUAAUGACAGUACCGGGAGAAUAAGCCCCGGCUAACUCCGUGCCAGCAGCCGCAGUAA